CAGCCGCCGCGGGAAUACGGAGGGGGCUAGCGUUGUUCGGAAUUACUGGGCGUAAAGCGCACGUGGGCGGCUUUGCAAGUCAGAGGUGAAAGCCCGGGGCUCAACUCCGGAAUAGCCUUUGAGACUGCAUCGCUUGAACACGGGAGAGGUGAGUGGAAUUCCGAGUGUAGAGGUGAAAUUCGUAGAUAUUCGGAAGAACACCAGUGGCGAAGGCGGCUCACUGGACCGUUGUUGACGCUGAGGUGCGAAAGCGUGGGGAGCGAACAGGAUUAGAUACCCCAGUAGUCCCUGUCUCUUAUAC
rnacentral:rRNA from 1 species